AAGUCGUAACAAGGUUUCCGUAGGUGAACCUGCGGAAGGAUCAUUAACACGUAUCCAACGUUUAACCACCCGUGCACCUUCAUCGAAUACCCGUCGCUUGAUGAUUCGUUGCGAAGAUGGCUUUCGGCCUUGUGGCUACACAAAGGGAGUUGAAAUGCGACUGAGGGACCUUGUGGCUUGCUCUGACAUGCGGAACGACGAGAAGAAUGUGAAGGUCCGUUUCGUGGUGCCGGCUGCCUCCGAACAACUGUUAGCAAUGGAUAUCUUGGCUCUC
rnacentral:misc_RNA from 1 species